rnacentral:misc_RNA from 1 species
ACAAACUUGGUCAUUUAGAGGAAGUAAAAGUCGUAACAAGGUUUCCGUAGGUGAACCUGCGGAAGGAUCAUUACAGAGUACCGGCGCCCUCUGGGCGCCUACUCCCACCCCGUGUGUACCUUGCCUUUGUUGCUUUGGCGGGCCGGGCGCCUAGCGCCGCCGGCCUAGGCUGGAGAGCGCCCGCCAGAGAACCUUUCAAAACCUGCUCACCGUGGCGUCCGAGUACACGAAAAUUGAAUCAAAACUUUCAACAACGGAUCUCUUGGUUCUGGCAUCGAUGAAGAACGCAGC